rnacentral:misc_RNA from 1 species
GGAAGUAAAAGUUGUAACAAGGUUUCCGUAGGUGAACCUGCGGAAGGAUCAUUAUUGUAUAACCGAGGUGCGAGGGCUGUCGCUGACCCGAAAGGUCGUGCACGCCCGAGUGCCCUCACACACAUCCAUCUCACUCCUAUGUGCACCACCGCGUGGGUCCCCCUUUGGCUUGUUCGGAGGGGGGCUUACGUUUUCACACAAACUUUGUAUGCAGUGUAGAAUGUAUUUUUUGUUUUUGCGAUCACGCAAUCAAUACAACUUUCAACAACGGAUCUCUUGGCUCUC